UAAGAGAUCUUAUCAGAUCAAAUGUCAGGUUAAAUGCAAAUCAUAGAUGCAGUACAAAUUUUUAUUGUACUUUGAGCUUUUGCCACAGUUUACAUGAAAACCCAGUAACCAGGAAGAAGUUGAAAUGAAAAAAGAUGUUACAACUCAAAAUGACAUGUUUUUGAAAUAUCAGCUCAGGCUUGUGGAUGAAAGUCAGAAAUGUCGGUUUUGUAUGUUCUUUUACUUUAAUGCUUUUAUAUUCAGGCUUUUUCUUUCCUCUUGUCAGGUGAAUCAUCUCCUUAAGGGGAGCAGCUUUUUUUGUCUAGGCUGGCAGCUGUUACCUGUGGUAAAGUCUGAAGACAGCUUUUACGGAUGAUGGGCAGCGGAUGGGCUUCGGUGUUAAAGACCCAGUCUUCCAGGGAGAGGAGGUCAUCGUCAGAGAAAAGCAGGAAGAAGCUCUGCUGCAUGUUGUCGUGGCUGGCUGUCAGGGCGUAAACAUCACGGAUCCCAGAGAAGCCAGACUCCACUCUGCAGU